rnacentral:rRNA from 1 species
UACGGAGGGGGCAAGCGUUAUCCGGAUUCACUGGGUUUAAAGGGUGCGUAGGUGGGUUGGUAAGUCAGUGGUGAAAUCUCCAGGCUUAACUUGGAAACUGCCAUUGAUACUAUCAAUCUUGAAUACCGUGGAGGUCAGCGGAAUAUGUCAUGUAGCGGUGAAAUGCUUAGAUAUGACAUAGAACACCAAUUGCGAAGGCAGCUGGCUACACGAAUAUUGACACUGAUGCACGAAAGCGUGGGGAUCAAACAGG